rnacentral:rRNA from 2 species
GACGAACGCUGGCGGCAUGCCUAAUACAUGCAAGUCGAACGAACCAUCCUGAAGAUUGAAGCUUGCUUCAUGAUUCAGACCUUGGUGAGUGGCGGACGGGUGAGUAACACGUGGGUAACCUGCCCAAAAGUGGGGGAUAACAUCUGGAAACAGGUGCUAAUACCGCAUAACAACUACUUUCUCAUGAUCGUAGCUUGAAAGAUGGCUCUGCUAUCGCUUUUGGAUGGACCCGCGGCGUAUUAGCUAGUUGGUGAGGUAAUAGCUCACCAAGGCAAUGAUACGUAGCCGACCUGAGAGGGUAAUCGGCCACAUUGGGACUGAGACACGGCCCAAACUCCUACGGGAGGCAGCAGUAGGGAAUCUUCCACAAUGGGCGAAAGCCUGAUGGAGCAAUGCCGCGUGAGUGAAGAAGGUUUUCGGAUCGUAAAACUCUGUUGUUGAAGAAGAACAUGCGUGAGAGUAACUGUUCACGUACUGACGGUAUUCAACCAGAAAGCCACGGCUAACUACGUGCCAGCAGCCGCGGUAAUACGUAGGUGGCAAGCGUUGUCCGGAUUUAUUGGGCGUAAAGAGAAUGUAGGCGGUUUAUUAAGUUUGAAGUGAAAGCCCUCGGCUCAACCGAGGAAGUGCUUCGAAAACUGGUAAACUUGAGUGCAGAAGAGGAAAGUGGAACUCCAUGUGUAGCGGUGGAAUGCGUAGAUAUAUGGAAGAACACCAGUGGCGAAGGCGGCUUUCUGGUCUGUAACUGACGCUGAGAUUCGAAAGCAUGGGUAGCAAACAGGAUUAGAUACCCUGGUAGUCCAUGCCGUAAACGAUGAGUGCUAAGUGUUGGAGGGUUUCCGCCCUUCAGUGCUGCAGCUAACGCAUUAAGCACUCCGCCUGGGGAGUACGAUCGCAAGAUUGAAACUCAAAGGAAUUGACGGGGGCCCGCACAAGCGGUGGAGCAUGUGGUUUAAUUCGAAGCAACGCGAAGAACCUUACCAGGUCUUGACAUACCAUGAAAAGCUAAGAGAUUAGUCUUUCCCUUCGGGGACAUGGAUACAGGUGGUGCAUGGUUGUCGUCAGCUCGUGUCGUGAGAUGUUGGGUUAAGUCCCGCAACGAGCGCAACCCUUAUUAUCAGUUGCCAGCAUUCAGUUGGGCACUCUGGUGAGACUGCCGGUGACAAACCGGAGGAAGGUGGGGACGACGUCAAAUCAUCAUGCCCCUUAUGACCUGGGCUACACACGUGCUACAAUGGUCGGUACAACGUGCUGCGAACUCGCGAGGGUAAGCAAAUCACUUAAAACCGAUCUCAGUUCGGAUUGUAGGCUGCAACUCGCCUACAUGAAGCUGGAAUCGCUAGUAAUCGCGGAUCAGCAUGCCGCGGUGAAUACGUUCCCGGGCCUUGUACACACCGCCCGUCACACCAUGAGAGUUUGUAACACCCAAAGUCGGUGGGGUAACCCUUCGGGGAACUAGCCGCCUAAGGUGGGACAAAUGAUUAGGGUGAAGUCGUAACAAGGUAGCCGUAGGAGAACC